UGUUAAAAAAGUUAUUCAUUUUUGUUGUUAAAAACUGGCAUGGUUGACAGAAUAACCAAAUGAUGACACACGGCAUAUCGCAUGUAUCUCAUUUCGACAUACAUGAACCAGUUUUUAAUGGUAGAAAUAGAUAAAUAAAUA
rfam:Gossypium hirsutum cultivar TM-1 unplaced genomic scaffold scaffold238.1, whole genome shotgun sequence